rnacentral:rRNA from 1 species
GACGAACGCUGGCGGCGUGCUUAAUACAUGCAAGUCGAGCGAGGUUACUGUUUCGGAUCCCUUCGGGGUGAAGAAGCUUUAACCUAGCGGCGGACGGGUGAGUAACGCGUGGGUAACCUACCCCAAAGUCCGGGAUAACAGCGGGAAACCGCUGCUAAUACCGGAUGCCUUUACCUUGGGGCAUCUUGAGGUAAAGAAAGGUAACGCUUUGGGAUGGGCCCGCGUCCCAUUAGCUAGUUGGUGAGGUAACGGCUCACCAAGGCGACGAUGGGUAGCCGGCCUGAGAGGGUGGACGGCCACACUGGGACUGAGACACGGCCCAGACUCCUACGGGAGGCAGCAGUAGGGAAUAUUGCGCAAUGGACGGAAGUCUGACGCAGCGACGCCGCGUGAGCGAUGAAGGUCUUCGGAUCGUAAAGCUCUGUCCUUGGGAAGAAGGCGAAAGCUUGACGGUACCCAAGAAGAAAGCCCCGGCUAACUACGUG